rnacentral:rRNA from 1 species
AAGCGGUGGAUGAUGUGGAUUAAUUCGAUGCAACGCGAAAACCUUACUUACCCUUGACAUGUCCGGAAUCCCGAAGAGAUUUGGGAGUGCUCGCAAGAGAACCGGAACACAGGUGCUGCAUGGCUGUCGUCAGCUCGUGUCGUGAGAUGUUGGGUUAAGUCCCGCAACGAGCGCAACCCUUGUCAUUAGUUGCCAUCAUUUGGUUGGGCACUCUAAUGAGACUGCCGGUGACAAACCGGAGGAAGGUGGGGAUGACGUCAAGUCCUCAUGGCCCUUAUGGGUAGGGCUUCACACGUCAUACAAUGGUCGGUACAGAGGGUUGCCAACCCGCGAGGGGGAGCUAAUCCCACAAAGCCGAUCGUAGUCCGGAUCGCAGUCUGCAACUCGACUGCGUGAAGUCGGAAUCGCUAGUAAUCGUGGAUCAGCAUGUCACGGUGAAUACGUUCCCGGGUCUU